rnacentral:lncRNA from 1 species
CAACCCCCCCCAAAACAAAACAGAACACUCUUUCUACAGAGCCGACGCGAUGACGCCGCGCGUGAGGAGGGGUUAAUUAUUCAAUUAGGCGAAGCGGGGGCCAGCUGGCCCACGUCUGCACGUGCGCGCGUGGAAAUGGAGGGGUCGAUGCCGUGCGCGGUCUCGUCACGCGUGGUCAGUACUCGGGAAAUGUUGGGUAAAACCCCCACGAUUCAUUUCUGGCUUUUUUUCCGAAGCAGAAUAUCGUCGGGUGGAGUUUCACGAUAAUAAUACUACUAAUAAUAAUAAUAAUAGUAAUGAUAAUGACUCGGCUUGUUGCGAGGCGAUAUCUGAACGCUGCGUGGGUUUCUUUCUUUGGUUUUGUUAAGUUUUUACCCCACCUUGUACACGCCCGCCGCCUCCGCCAGCGGACGCACGGCGUGUCCGUCGUGAUCGCCCGGGGCCCGGCACGCCCGGCAGGUCAGCCGCCGGUCCGUGUGGCAGUAAAACUCCAGCUCCUCGCCGUGCCGGGGGCACCGGUCCGCCCAGCUGCCCGCCGCGAUCCCCGGGCUCGCUUAGGAGCAGCUGCCGGGCGCGGUCCGCCAGGUUCCGCAGCGCCCGGUUGGUCUUCAGCGAGGCCGGGUCCGGCACGGCCGCCCGGCACUCGGGGCACAGCGCGGGAGCAGCCGCGGCCCCCCCGCCUCGCAGGACCGCGGCCACGCAGGCCCGGCAGAUGU